rnacentral:misc_RNA from 1 species
UCAUGGGCGUGUGAGCCGUGAUCGGAUAGCUAGUGUUUGUAGGCUCCGUGCUCGUGCAUCGAACUUCAAACCACCUAUCCUUCUCAGUUGCUUCACGAGCAAUUUUAUGCUUGUUGACUAAGAUCUUGGGCUUGUGCUGUGUACCUAACUAGAAGGAAUUGUUGAGUUUGGUUUCCAACAUUGUUUGCGGCGUCUCCUUCUGUGGGGGAAGUCGUGAGCACAAAAGUCGGCACUUGUGAUCCAUGUGUCUCGGCAUCAAAUGCCUUGUUCGCAUAGGUGAAUGAGCUGUUGGUUGAACUCUCGGUUGCGGAAAUCUUAUCAACGGUGACUCGAAGUAAUUCAGUCCCGCCAAUUGAUAUUGUCCCUCGGGCAUAAGAUGACGGUCAAGACCUCGCCUGUUCUUCCUUACCUAGCGUUUGCGAGAAUGUGACGGGGCCUUGCCGUGAUUUAUGAAUGCUACCUGGUUGAUCCUGCCAGUAGUCAUAUGCUUGUCUCAAAGAUUAAGCCAUGCAUGUGUAAGUAUGAACGAAUUCAGACUGUGAAACUGCG